UACGGAGGGUGCUAGCGUUGUUCGGAAUUACUGGGCGUAAAGGGCGCGUAGGCGGCCGUUUGCGUCGGAUGUGAAAGCCCGGGGCUCAACCUCGGAACGGCAUUCGAUACGGGACGGCUGGAGACCGGGAGAGGAGAGUGGAAUAGCCAGUGUAGAGGUGAAAUUCGUAGAUAUUGGCUGGAACACCGGUGGCGAAAGCGGCUCUCUGGCCCGGUUCUGACGCUGAGGCGCGAAAGCGUGGGGAGCGAACGGG
rnacentral:rRNA from 1 species